GGGUUGUGAGGUUAAGCGACUAAGCGUACACGGUGGAUGCCCUGGCAGUCAGAGGCGAUGAAGGACGUGCUAAUCUGCGAUAAGCGUCGGUGAGGUGAUAUGAACCGUUAUAACCGGCGAUUUCCGAAUGGGGAAACCCAGUGUGUUUCGACACACUAUCAUUAACUGAAUCCAUAGGUUAAUGAGGCGAACCGGGGGAACUGAAACAUCUAAGUACCCCGAGGAAAAGAAAUCAACCGAGAUUCCCCCAGUAGCGGCGAGCGAACGGGGAGGAGCCCAGAGCCUGAAUCAGUGUGUGUGUUAGUGGAAGCGUCUGGAAAGGCGCGCGAUACAGGGUGACAGCCCCGUACACAAAAAUGCACAUAUUGUGAGCUCGAUGAGUAGGGCGGGACACGUGGUAUCCUGUCUGAAUAUGGGGGGACCAUCCUCCAAGGCUAAAUACUCCUGACUGACCGAUAGUGAACCAGUACCGUGAGGGAAAGGCGAAAAGAACCCCGGCGAGGGGAGUGAAAAAGAACCUGAAACCGUGUACGUACAAGCAGUGGGAGCCUCUUAAUGGGGUGACUGCGUACCUUUUGUAUAAUGGGUCAGCGACUUAUAUUCUGUAGCAAGGUUAACCGAAUAGGGGAGCCGAAGGGAAACCGAGUCUUAACUGGGCGUUAAGUUGCAGGGUAUAGA
rnacentral:rRNA from 1 species